UACAGAGGUGCCAAGCGUUAGGCGGAAUCACUGGGCGUAAAGGGCGUGUAGGCGGGACAGUAAGUCGGGCGUGAAAUCCCUGGGCUCAACCCAGGAACUGCACUCGAAACUACUAUUCUUGAGUGUCGGAGAGGAAAGCGGAAUUCCUGGUGUAGAGGUGAAAUUCGUAGAUAUCAGGAGGAACACCAGUGGCGAAGGCGGCUCACUGGACCACAACUGACGCUGAGGCGCGAAAGCUAGGGGAGCAAACAGG
rnacentral:rRNA from 1 species